GUGCCGGUCAAGGCUUAACAACCAGCUCUUUGUGGGAGGGGCUGGCUGUCAGCGUUUGGUUACUUCGUCGCUAUAAACACUCCCAUCACAGCCAAUUUUAAGCUAUCAGCAAUUUAACAACCAGCUCACAAGAUUUCUGUAUAUUUAACAAAUGGCUCUUGUGAGCUGGGUCCAGGACACAACAAUCCUAAGACUAAGAGAUUCAUAGGCUUAAACUGGGGCUUGUGCAGGGAGGGGCGAUGGAGGAGCACACUGUUCUUCGUAGUGAAGAGGAUGAACUGGGCAGUAAUGGAUGGUCAGCAGUGGUCUCAGAGGAGAGGAAAUCUGUCUGCUCUCAAGAUUUCUACCUUUCUUCCUAGCAUCUGAGAACAGCAAUGUGGCAGAAGGCCUGGGAUUUUUCAGACUUCAGGGCACUCAGUUUUGCCUUUAAUGGAAAACCAACCUGGGUUGUACCAAUGGAAAGAGGUACAAGGUUGACCCUGGCAUCUGGAUACCCAAAGAAGCUGCAUGCAGGGUCUGUUUGGACAAUUCUAUAGAAAUGGUUGAUGUGGAAAGGUGCUGAAUGUCUUGGCCCCUCCAGGACUGCCCAGGUAAUUCUGACACUUUAUCACUACUCCUGGUUCUCACUGACUACACUCAGCAGAAUUCUGAUUUAAUAGUAAUUGCUAUACUUACAUGGGUCCAGGACUGUGCUAAGGUCCUUAGCCUUGCUUGCUAAGGCAUUCUGCCUUGAAAGAUGUUUUCAUCUUGUAGUGUCCUGUAAAACUUUUGUAAAAUAUUAGUUGUGACCUUUUCAUGUGAUACAUCCCCCCCCUAUUAAGAACUACAUUUAUCUUUCUUUAAAAAAAUCCACAGUUCUUCAGCAUGGUUUAUCCCUUUCUGCUACUAGCACUACUUUACACCCAAUCCUUUUUCUUCUAAGAAUACAAGUCCUUCCAUCAGGAGGCCACAUUUUAGCCAGGGCUGGCUCUAGACGAUGUGUGGAUUCUCUACGCAGCCUCUCCCUCUGCUCGAGGAAGUUCCUUAGUUAGAUAGGUACUAUAGGCAGUAGAAGGAAAAAACUAAUUAUGACUUGGUGGAGUCUGGUCUCAGGUAUGCUCAGGUUUGUGCAAGGUCCAUUAUUCCAUGGCUGUUGUCAUUGGGAGGCUACACUUACAGAAAAGUGAUUCUGCACCCAGCACACCAGCCUGACUGUCAAACACAUCUGAAGCACGACAAGAUACAUUUUUUAAGUGCUGACACAGGGUGUGUGAGAGGACACCCAGCUGACUUAAAAGAGUGGGGCAGGGUUGUCUAGGUAAAUAAUCACUGUCAAGUUUGCCAGAUAUGACAGGUAACUCCCUAGAAGAACACCCAGGCCAUUCCUUUCAAAGUCAGGCAGUCAAGAGGCUGCUGAGUUUCCUCAACGCUGGCUACCUACUUGGGUAACAUGACUGCUCAUCAAACAGUCAAUGCUAGCGGGGAACUGUGAGUGCCAUAACAGCCACUGUUGUACCCAGGAGUUCUGUGUCUAUAAAGCUGAGUGGUCCAGAUUUG
rnacentral:lncRNA from 1 species